AGAUUGUGAUGUGGGCAACUUCGCUGAAGUUCCCUAAAUCUAUCCCAAGCUUCAUGCAAAGAUUCACCAUCACUUUGUCCAAAAUUGGUGAUUUCCUUUAUGAUUCU